rnacentral:tRNA from 1 species
GCCAGUGUGACAUAGUGGUUUGAGUGUUGGACUAUGACUCUGGAGACCAGGGUUUGAUUCCCAACUCAGCCA